rnacentral:lncRNA from 1 species
CGCACGGCCAGGCCCGCCCCGCGGGGGAGGGGGCCGCCGCGCCCCGGAGGGCCACAGGGAAAAGUUGGGGGACCUCCGGGGAGGGGCCAGCCCGGACCGAGACCCCUUGGGAGUCUGGUCCAACCGCAGAGGAUCAGAUGCCCGCAGUCCCUCCACGGGCUGCAAAGAAGGAGGGGCUGCUGCUUUACAGAGUGGUAGAGAUGAGGCUUCACAAAUGGAGCACUUCCUGCCAACCCAGGACAAGAAGAUCUGCAUUGAAGCCUGCUGGAGGUCCGGGGAGGUAAGUGGGCUCUGCCCCAGAACCAUACAGGCCUAGGUUUGGCACCCAGCCUGCCRUGUACU